CACAAAUCAAUAAGAGCAACAACAACAACAACAACAAACCAUCAACUUAAAAAAAGAGGAAGAAAGAGAGAAGGAAAGAAAGAGACCAGCUUUGUAGAAUGAGAAACCACAGCACAGGAACUGAAGUUUACCAAAAACACCAUAGGAGCUGGGCUCUCAGGAUCCAUAUUAAACCAAAAUCAGAUGUUCAUGAUACUGAAGAUCUGUUCAUAUGCUGGGAAGACUGAGAUGUUGAUUUGAAUUUGAUAACAUAACGGUUCGUAUCACAUGUUUGUGCAAGAAUGUCCAUGCAGAAGUCUGACUGCUUUUUGUGGGGGUCAACCAAGUCAGAGACUGGAACGGCUACAGAGGAAAGGUAUCUUCUUGGUUUUCCUAUGAAGUUUCUUUUAAAAACAUAAUAAUGAAGAGUUUAUUUAUAAAUGUCCUCAGAGCAGAGAUAAUAUAAGUCAUGCGUAGAGACCAAAUCCCCCAGAAAUAUUAGAGAAGUCUUCAGAAUCCAUUCUUGUUGUCAUGCACAAAUCCUUUCUGGACAUCUGUUGUGACAGGACACCAUGUUUUUCUCAGCAGCGUUUUGUAAUUUUCAGUAUGCAGGUCUGGUAUGUAUUUUGAUAAAAUUGUCUGUAAAUAUUUUAUAUUUUGCUUAUUAUAAAUAUAUUGUUUUAAUUUCAUUUUGCAGUUGCUCAUGGCUAAUAUAUGGAAAUACUAUUGGUCCAUACUAUUGAUUCAAUAGUAUUUCUAAAUACUACGUAAAGAGAGACUUGAAGUAGAAUCCAGGGAGGAGGGACAUGUUCAUGUAAGGGUAAAAGACACAGCAAGAUAGAUCUUAUGCCAAGUGCUAAAAAAGCAGGAGGAAAGAGGAGAACUCAUAGGAGAAUCAGAGAGAAUUACAGGGAUCAAUAAGAGGUACAGUACAAGGUCUGCAAAGCAAAGAACGGAAUUUUCAGGAAGGAGAAGAUGACCAACAGCAUAAAUUAUUACAGCAAAGUUAAUGAAAUCAAAGACUAAAAAUAAGUAAGGUAAUUGCACUUAGCUAUUUGGAGGUUGUCAGUGACUGGAACAUGCAGUUUCAGUUGAGUGUGGAUGACGAAUUGGACAAUGUGAACACAGCUUAAAGUAGGACAUACUCAAGAUUAUAGUCAUCAUGCAUAACAAAGUAUUAGACAAUUGAAUCUGGCCAUAUAUAUAUAUAUAAAGAUAAUACACCACUAAAUUAUACACACAUACACAUGCACCAUAAAUAGUUGUUUUAUCUAUUAAUGAAAUUAACCAUAUAAAUAUAAUAAGGUAAAAAAUAAAGAAAACACACCUAUGAUCAUCUCAGUAGAUGUAGAAAAACAUUUAGCAAAAUGCUAUAUCCAUUUAUGAUUUUAAAAAACUCUCAGCAAACUAGAAAUUAAAGGGAACUUCCUUAAUCUAAUAAAAGGCAACUAGAAAAAAUCUACAACUAAUAUCUUACUUAGUGGGGAAAGCCUGAACAAAAUUAGACAAAUGAUAUAAAUCAUUGCUCUCACCAUUUAUAUUCAACAUUGUACUAGAGGUCCUAGAAAGUAUAAUAAGGCAAGAAAAAAAUGCAUACAAGUUGGAAAGGAAGAAGUAAAACUAGAGUUACUCACAGACAACAUGACCAUGAACCUAGAUAUUCUAAAAGACUCUCUCUCUUUCAAAAAAAAAAAGCCUACUACAACUGGUAAAUAGGUUUAGGAAGGUAAUAGGAUAGAAAGUUAGUAUGCUAAGACCAAUGAUAUUUCCAUGUACUAGGAAUGAGCAACUGCAAAUGAAAUUAAAAUAAUAUUUUUUGAUAGGC
rnacentral:lncRNA from 1 species